CAAAUAAAGUCACAUUCUGAGGUACUGGGACUCAGGAAUUCAACAUAUUAAUUUGGUGGGGACACAAUUCGGCCCAUAACAGGUCUUCCCUGAAUCCCAAAUUACUUGGCUGGAGCCCUGACAACCUGCCUAGUGUUAGCCUCUCCCCAGAGGAAUAUACUUUGUCCCUGUUUCGCUGGUGGUUAAAUAGGACCCCUUUCACUCAGGAUCAGCCCUCUGAGCCACUUCAGAGCUCCUGUCCGCCCCUCAUUGCCCAUAUCCAACUGAUCACAACUUCCACUCAACCUUUAUUUCUUCUACAACCACACUGUCAUCACUCUUAGUCCAAGAUCACAUUUGCAGAGACGAUGACAACAGCUUUCUACCUCGCUUUCUGUCCCCAGGCCUUUCCUCCACCCACCCAUCCAUCCUCUCUAAUCCAUUUCACCCUCAAAGUCAAAUAUGAUCAUAAAACUUGUCAUAUCAAAUCCUUCAGUGGUUCCCUGUACAAAUAAAACCAUUUCCUUUAACGAGCUCACAAAACUCUUUAUAAACUAGUCCCAGCUACUAUAUCAUCCUUUCAUAAUCAUUCCUGUACUCUGCAAUUUCUGCUAUAUAAACUUAUUUGCAAUUGUUUAUUAAAGUAUCUGUGAGACUAUUCUGUGAACUAUCCCAGGAAAAUGGGUCAGAUUCUGUGUUGAACAUAAACAUUUGAAACAUUGCAGAAAGAGUAUGUAGUGUAAGGAGAGGGCCUUUGGAACUAAACAGAGCUGAAUUCUAAUUCCAUUUCCCCUUCUUUUUAACUUUUUUUAUUGAGAUAUAACUUAUAUACAGAAAAGGGCACAAAUAUUUGUGCAGCUGAGUUUUUAACAUAUGUCCAUACUUUUGAACCACCAUCCAUGUCAAGAUAUAAAACAUUUCUCAUCUAGAAGGUUCCCUGAUACCCCAUCAUAUCCAAACCCCACCCCACAAAAGUAACUACUCUCUUGACUUCUAUGAGGAUUUAUUAGUUUUGCCUGCUUUUGAACUUUAAUAAAUGUAAUAAUACAGUGUGCAGUCUUUCAUAUCUGGCUCUUGUUCAACUUGAAAGCUAAGAGACUCAUUCACAUGUUGAAUGGACCUACCCAUCUCCUCUCCUACGUCUAAUUUCCAUUUGAUAAGUCAUUCUCUACCUGAGCCUGUUUUCUCAAUAAGACUAUCCCUGCAUGACUGAUGUGAGCGUUAGAUGACCUAUAUCAAACCUUACUGAUGCUUUCUGCCACAAAGCAGGCUGUUCCUGAAUUCUAGCUAUUGUUACUGUGAUGUGUAUCUUUUAGAAAAUGGAUCUUUUGAACUAUUAUUGCACUAUAUUCAGUUUGUUUGUUUUUGUUCUUGUUUUUUUAACAGAGUAGUUCAGAGCUACUUUGCCUUCAGGACUGAAAUCUAGGUAACAACAUGUUUAAAUCAAGAUUAUGUGAAGCACCCUUCAAAGGAGAUUUAACAGUGUGCCCUAUCACUUAUCAGCUCUAUCUUAUCUAGGAUCUAUUUCUAGGCUAUUCAUCCUGUCCAUCUCUCUGCCUAUUUCUGUGACUGCUGUUACUGUCAUAGUCUUUUCAUUUUUCAACUGACUCAAGCUCUGGAAAGGUAACUCAAAAGGGGCCACCUGUGAAAUACUGCUAAUGACAGCCUCUUCAAUUUACCAUUAAGAGGGCAACAUAAGCUGCAUUUUCAGAAGGUCUUAUGAUCAACAGGAGCUUGAUGACAUAUAAAACAUAUGAACAGAUGAAAAUAUAUGGACCCUUCUAAAGAAUGCUCGCAGUAGCUUCAAUCAUUAUGAUCUCAAAAUUGAAACAAUGCAAAUAUCAUUCAACAAUGAAAGAAGCCAGACACAAAAGACUACAUAUUGUAUGAUCCUGUUUAUAUUAAGCUCAAGAACACAUGAAUUAAGCUAUGAUGAUAGGAGUUGCAGGAGAGGCUGGCUACCUCUAGGGGAAGAGGAACUGACUGGAAAAUGUCAUAAGGAAAUCUUCUAAGGUGAUGGAAUAUUGCAAAGCUUGGUCUGGGUGAUGGCUACAUGGCUGGAUACAUAUGUGAAAUUAAUUGUGCUAUACAAUUAAGGAACAAAGGAAGUUAGUGUGAAGUGGAAUUACUGGGUCACAGAGGUAUGUAUUUUUGUUUGUUUGUUUCAAUAAAUACCACUGAAUUGGCCUCAGAACUGUCUGUACCAAUUUCAGUUCCCCUUCCUUCACACUAUCACUAACACUUGAUAUUGUCAGGUUUUAAAAUUUUUAUCAAUCUGAUAGGUAAAGAAUGGAUUGUAAUUUGCAAUGCCCUGAUUAUUAGUGAGGUUUAGCAUAUUUUCCUAGUCAUUUGUGUUUUUAUUUCUGUAAAUGACUUGUUUAUAUCUCUUAUCUAUUUUGCUCUCAUGUGUUUUAACUUUAUUGAUUUGUAGAAAUACUUUGUAUAAUUUGGAUAUUGAUCCAUGUUGUAUUUACAUAUGAUACAAAUAUCUUUUUCUAAAUUUGUCACUUCUCUUUGAACUUUGUUCAUGGUAUUUUGUAAUAGAGAUUUAUUUAAAUUUUGAUAUUGUCAAAUUUAUUGGCAAGGUUGUGGGCAUAUUCUUCUAAAUUUUCUUUACCAGCACUUAAAUAAAGUAUCA